AUUGAACGCUGGCGGCAGGCUUAACACAUGCAAGUCGAGCGGAGCGAGGGUGCUUGCACCUUAGCUUAGCGGCGGACGGGUGAGUAAUGCUUAGGAAUCUGCCUAUUAGUGGGGGACAACAUUCCGAAAGGAAUGCUAAUACCGCAUACGCCCUACGGGGGAAAGCAGGGGAUCUUCGGACCUUGCGCUAAUAGAUGAGCCUAAGUCGGAUUAGCUAGUUGGUGGGGUAAAGGCCUACCAAGGCGACGAUCUGUAGCGGGUCUGAGAGGAUGAUCCGCCACCCUGGGAAUGGGACACGGCCCAGACUCCUACGGGAGGCAGCAGUGGGGAAUAUUGGACAAUGGGCGGAAGCCUGAUCCAGCCAUGCCGCGUGUGUGAAGAAGGCCUUUUGGUUGUAAAGCACUUUAAGCGAGGAGGAGGCUACUUAGAUUAAUACUCUGGGAUAGUGGACGUUACUCGCAGAAUAAGCACCGGCUAACUCUGUGCCAGCCGCCGCAGCAA
rnacentral:rRNA from 1 species